GAACAUGUGAAGGCUUUUUUGUGUGUGUGAACCGAGACGGGCUUCAGUUAUGCUCUGUGUGUCGGUGAAGAGGCACCGUGAACUCCCAGGUCGGCCGGCAAAGGGCCGAUGUCUGAGGCUUUGCUCCGUUCCGGCAGCUGGUUAGCAACACGGAGCCGUGGAUGUUUCCAGGGGAGGAAAUGAAUACACAGGCGUCGGGGGUGAAGGAGGCCAAGUGCGUGGAGUCGGCCGAGAGGUGGAUUCAGUGGAAAGACGGACACAGAGUGUCCUCUGUAGACGCGAUGUGGAACCGGUUCCCAGGGAGCCAGUCAGGAAACCAGAAUCGGAGGAUUCUUUGGCUGACAUGAGUUUUGAAGUUCUGCCACAUUCACUUAUCAGCCUGUGGCAAAUGCAGUCCUCACCAGAGAGAAGAUGAAAGACUGAGAGUUUAAAAAAAAAAAAAAAAACCCAUGUGCUACAUAAAAAUGCCCUGCCCUUGCAAGGAACUGGCAGUUACCUUCCUCCCCUCUGCCGCCCCCUCUCUCUGUACGUGGAGGGAAAGGCUUGUUUCUUAAAUUAUUGUUCUUUAAUCCGUCAAUUGUGUGUAUCUCUUUAAAACUUAUCAAUACCUUCUGCAAACAUAUCCAACCCGACAAUUCAGUGUCUUGAGGAGAGCCAGGUAUUUGUCGGUAUAUUUCCAGUUGUAUGGGUAUCUCUGUAAACUACGAAUCACUCUACACUUCUCUCAUAUGCGUGGCUACAUUUUCAUCUCCUCAGUAACUCCCAAGAAGCGAGUAUUGGACACGUGACAAAUCUCCACCUUGAACAGCUCUUCCUGAAGACUUGAGUCGAAGUGUUCCAGGCAAUGAGACGGCAAUGGAAGACUUUGCAUGCAUGGCUUGGCAGUAAAGUUAAAGCUUUUCUGCCAAGAAGUACGAAUUUCCACUUGUGUCAGCAAGAUGUGAAUUAAAGAAGAAAGAAAAGUGCAAAAACAAACAAACAAAACCAUGCAGACGCCCUCAAGGCCAAGGUGGACUAUCUUGGAGCAUCAGAGCCAUUGCUAAUACUAUGGUUGAAGGCGUCCCUGAGGGGUUAGGUGGGGUUUGGCCAGCCUUCUUGACAAUCUGAAUUAGAGUAGAUUCACCUAAGACUUUCCCAGACAUCCUCUAAGAAGGUCCCCGGGGUCUGGACACCCACCCUCACACCUGAAGAACUUUUUCCUUCCAGUAGCCGUCUCUCAACGCCAAGUUGACUGUCCACCUGUCCAUUGUACCAACGCCGUGGCUGUUUUCUCCGGCAGUGCCAUGUCUAGGAAAACCACAGUCACAGGAGCCACAAAGGCAGCAGCCUUUUGUUUAUACACCUCUUGGAAGGUCAGGUUAGGUGCUGGGGCACACGGGGACCUUGACAAGGAUGCGUCUAUGUGACUAGAGUGCAGAACCGCCAGCCCGAGCCCGUGUGUGUUCUUUGUGUUCUUUGACUCAGCCAGACCUAAACCCCCUGGACCCAGUUUUUCAUGCAAGUUGCAGAAACACUGUCUGGGAACCCUGACAGCAUUUGCUGCUGCAUCUGGUCAGGAGAGCCCCAAAUUUGGUGGGACUAGGAAGUCUCAAACCUUGAUUCUUGUGUGAGCCUUCUCUAUCCCUGCUGGCAAAAGUGCGCGCACUCUGGGUGGUCCUGCUUUUAGAAACCGGUCAUGAGGGAAUAUAUCUGGCUCAAUGGAGGGUACUUUUCCUGGUACUUGGAAAAAAAAAAAAAAAAAGGUGCAUCAAAUAGCUUGUUGUGUGGGAAAUGAGCUCUAUCCCCUUUAACUUCCAAGGAGAGUGUGUCACUUUUGACAUAAAUGUGUACUUGUGUGUUCUGUGAUUGUUCUUGAAAAAAAGCAAGCAGAGCGAAGACAACUGCAGACAUACGCUAAGCUGGAUAAGAAGGCCCACCCUUAAUCACACGCUCCUCAGACUGUAGAUUUGAAAUUCAUUAGUUCUCUUGGCACUUAGCACAUCGAGAGGGGAGACAGGAAAUGUAUUCUGUCUUCAGGUUUACGAGAAAAGCCUGAAUCCUCCUUUCACUAACCAUAUACGUUGUCAGGGCUGGAAUCAUGGGGGACUGAUUUCAUCCCCAGCUUUACUGACUUGUGAUUUUGGGCGAAGGUCACGUGUCUAAACCUGAUUCCUUCAUCUGUAAAAUGGGGGUGAUCCACCUUAGAGUUCUCUUAAGGUUUGGAAGCAUCAAUUCAAUACUAAGUUCUUUGAAAAUGGCAUUGCCUUAUUUUGUAUGUUUCCCAGGUAUGCCCCAUCAUUUCACUGGUGGGUGUUCCUAGCAUGUCCUGAGACAGACAGGUAAGUCAGAGGAUAGCACAUGCUUCCCAUUAAGGGCCAGCUAGUAGCGAUUUCAGGAUUUGUAUAGACCAUUUGGUCUCUCGUCACUACUCAAGUUCUGCUCUUGUAGUGCAAAAGCAGCCACAGAUGAUAUGAGAAUCCACAGACUUGGCUGUGCAUUUGUGGACGCUGUCAUUUGAAAUUCGCACACUUUUCAUGUGUUAUGAAAUACUCUUCUUCUUUUGAUUUUUCCAGCCAUUUAAAACUAUAAAAUCCACUCUUAGCCCACCGGUGUACAAUAGCGGGCCAUGAGUGUCAGCGGCCAACCGUCACCCUCAAGGAAUUUGUGUACUCUUUUUUAGUAAAUAUCAUCCUUGGAGAAACAAAAAGUGGUUUUCUUAGGAAGGUUCAAGUGUCUUGAGUCAUCUCUGAAAACCAAGUAGAGAAGAGAGGAGUCUUGUCAGUGCCAGUUUCAAGUAGGCAUGCUUUGUAAAUGUUGAUUAUGAGCCUGACCCAAGGUACAUCAAAGACGUAAGUGAAAGAGAUGAUCAGUUGUAAUUACAAGUCAUUAUCUUGAGUCUUGUUCUGAAACAGCAGAAAUGCUACAGAUGUGUAGCCUGGCUCUUGGUAAAGGUACGCACUGGUUUGCUCCCAGAUGGGCGGGUGGUGGGGGGGUGGAUUUUGGAGCACUUUUCUGCCUCAUCUCAUGCAGUAGGUUGGUGGAGUGGACUGGCGUAUCAUUUGAUAUAAGGGGAAGCCUUAUAUCAGCCUCCUAGCUUCUGGCCCGGGGCACUUGCAGCCCACCCCCCUGCUUUGUGUUGCUAUCAAACAGAUAAUGAGGGGAUUAGUGCUGGUGCCUGGCAUUCAUAAAUGCCAUAGUUUAUAUAGAUCCUUUUUGAUAUACUCUUUAACCCUCAGAAGACCCUGGCAAGUACGAGGGGCAAGUUUUAUUAUUUGCCUGUUACGUAAGGCAACUGACAGUCUGAUAUAUUUCAAGUUACCCUGGGUCACACACCGAUGAAGGGCUGGAGGCAAGUGUGGGACGUUCGUUUUCUAACCCUUUUUAUUACACCGUGCUGCCUUAUUAUACGACAUGGCUGUUGAUGUCAUUAAUCCCCAAACAUUAAAAAAUAAAUUGAAAAAGAAAUAACAUCUUGCCCGGGUUCCAGCCCCUGGCAGUGAUUUUUAAGUGGAGAGAGGUUCGUGUUAUGAGAAUUUUUGCUUUCAAAAUGCUACACGCACCUCCUGUAAAAGGUUGAAUUAAAUGAUUUUAUUUUUGGUAAGUGGCCCAUGUAAGUUUAUUAUUUAUUUAUUUUGCUUCUUUUUGCUUCAGCUCCUUUGGCUAAAUGAAGCACUGCUGUAUUUUUAUUGCAUACCCUGUCAUUAAAAGAAAUUGAAAAGA